CAAUUUUCAAAAAUAGUUCAUUGUAUUUGAAAAAAUUUCAUUGAUUUUCUAAGAAAUUUCAUAGGUUUUGACAAAAGUUCAUAGAUUUUGGAAAAAGUUCAUUGAAAAAUAUGAAAAGAAGUUCAAAAAAAAGUUCAUAAUUUUAUUUAGAAAAAUCAUCAAUUUGAAAAAUCAAGUUCACAAAAUAUGCUCAUCAAUUUGAAAAAUAAGUUCAGAACAUUUAAUUGUUUACAUCGAUUUGAAAAAUAAGGAAGAAGAAAAAAAUGAAAAAAAGAACGGAAAUGUAGAAGUAAUAAAAGAAUGCGAAAGCUUGGAAAUAUCAGAUGAUGUUGUGUGGUCGAGUGAUUGGUGUGUAGCGCCGUAGUACACGAGGUCACAGUAUCGAUUCAUCCUGCAUGCAAUCCUUUCGCGUUUUUGGAAACAGAAGGAAAAAAAAACUACAGAUACAUGGGCCAGCCCAGUUAACGCGGCUGCAGGCGCCGGUUAGGAAAAUUGCCCUUUAAAGCAGCCUUGUUCCUGUGCACGCAACUGCGGAGCUGGGCUCCAGGCACCCCUAUAUCUAGAAAAAAUUUAAACUGGCCUGGUGCGCAGCCCACUUCUAACUCUUGCCGGGCCUGAAAUCUCAGCCCAAAUCACACACAGGCAAACCGCGAAAAAAAAAGCGAAGAGUGAGGCGACCGUGCGCCUGCGCGUGUCUUCUGACGCGAACCCUACCCUGUCGCCGGCUCGCCGCCCGGCCGUUCCAUUCGGCGUUCUCCCUACGCAGACGGCCAGCCCCGUGAGGCGUUCGCCCAGCCUCUUCUCGGCGAGGCAGCGACGGCCCGCUCGCCCAGUCCAGGUCCCCGGCGACCGGCGCCCAGUCCAAUUCCGUCAGCUGCUCCCACGCAAAGCAAUGGUAGUCCGGCCGUACGUCCAGUCCAGUCGCGAUGCAAGCGGCGCACGUGCUCGCCCACCACGCCUGAACAGAGUCGAACAAGUGCCAUGCGGAUGUGUCCAUGGCGUGGAUGCGAAAUUUCUGAAUAACUAGGUUCCAAAGCCUGAGAGUGAAACGGCAUAUGAAGAAAAAGAUAGGACCAGGUUCCAAGACGUGUCCAACAAAAGAGGAGCAUCCAUCAUUGCAGCAAGGAUACCCUGUAGAGCUUGGCAUUUAGCCUGGGGAAGAAUAAUGGACAUCUUAAUGAAUAUAUGACUUUACAGACCCGGUUUUUUCAGAUGGUGGUGUGACCACUAGUUUUUUUUUUUUUUGCUCAUUGCACGUGAUAGCCGAUUUAUGUGUCCAUUAGCUAGUGAUGAGAGACAUAAAUAAUUCACCAACGGAAUGAGAGCAAGCGAAAUAUCGAGAAAUUGUCUGGUGGAAACAUCGUCUGACCCUAGCUAGCUAGCUAUGGAUUUAUGGCUAUACUCCCUCCGUCCGGUGAGUAUAUGGCAAAUUAGUUCAGCUGUCACAUCGGUAUCUCAAAGGAAUAUAUGGCUUUACAGUA